UCACCACAGCCCGGUUCCACAGGUGUUAUCCUGUUUUACAGACGUGGAAACUGGCACAGAGAGAGUUAAGUAUCCUGCCCGAAGCCCCACCCAGAGAACCCAAUUCAGCUCAGCUGACAUUUACCAGUCCCUGCCCUGGAGGAGUGGGAGACCGAUGAAGUGCUUGAUGUGGUUAGCUUCUUGGCUACUUUCUGCCAGGCGGAAAAGGGUUCCAGGCCACAGAGCAUCCUGACAGCCAGAACCAGACACCUGUAGUGUGGGGAGGAAGGUCUGAGGAGCCAAGCACUACGCCACUGCCUGGUGACUCUGAAGACGUCCCCAGACAACUGAGUCCUCCUGGGCAAGGGGGAUGAGGCUAGCAGCUUAACUUCUCUCAGCUGAGGGUGAUGAACAAGGAGAGGGGAGGAGCCCAGAGGGGCCCGGCCCUCCAGGUCUGGGUCCUGACUCCACCUCCAGGCUCCACUUCUGGUCCAUCUUUCGAGGCGUCUGAAGCUACCACCCAGAGACCACCUCCCCUUAGAUUCUAAGGUCCUUUCCCCUCCCCUUCCCCCUCCUACCUCUGUCCCACACCCACCGCACGGACCCUCUGCAGGAAGCAACAAGGUCCAAAUGGAGUCGCUGACCUGCCCUCUGGGCAAAUACAGAGCCCUCACCUUUCCCAGAGGCUGAAAGGGGACCAAGCCUGCGGGCCCCCUCCCAGGAUGGAUCCAGUGCUUUUAUUUAUCGAACCAGUCCCUGCCUGGCUUCAAAUGAGAGGAAAGACAUUCUUUCUCUUCCUAAAGGGAAAUAAGAAUUAACGAUAGGUACUCUGAAUUGAGAGCACCUGUGCCAGCCGUGCUGUGAAGUACUUUACAUGCAUCAUCCUCUUCCUUCUUACAACAGCCCAGCAAGGUAAGUAAAAGUAUUCCCAUUUUAUAGAUGAAGAAAGUAAUCCUAAAUGACUUGUCCAAAGAGGUGGUAGCAUUGAGGUGAAAAUCCAGCUCCGUCGAAUGCAUCACGAAUUAUCCAGCUCAUUGCAUUUGCUGAUAAGCAUUGUGUUCAUUUUCUCUAGUUUUGGCGUCCUUCUCCAACCCUCUUUCCCAACACUCCACAGACCUCUCCAGCUAUCAUAAAAUUCCCCAGAUUUGCCCACCCUGAGAAUCUACUUUCCAGUAGAUCCAGACC